CCGAUGACUCGGGGAUAGCCUUUCGAAAGAAAGAUUAAUACCCGAUGGCAUAGUUCUUCCGCAUGGUAGAACUAUUAAAGAAUUUCGGUCAUCGAUGGGGAUGCGUUCCAUUAGGUUGUUGGCGGGGUAACGGCCCACCAAGCCUUCGAUGGAUAGGGGUUCUGAGAGGAAGGUCCCCCACAUUGGAACUGAGACACGGUCCAAACUCCUACGGGAGGCAGCAGUGAGGAAUAUUGGUCAAUGGACGAGAGUCUGAACCAGCCAAGUAGCGUGAAGGAUGACUGCCCUAUGGGUUGUAAACUUCUUUUAUACGGGAAUAAAGUGAGGCACGUGUGCCUUUUUGUAUGUACCGUAUGAAUAAGGAUCGGCUAACUCCGUGCCAGCAGCCGCGGUAAUACGGAGGAUCCGAGCGUUAUCCGGAUUUAUUGGGUUUAAAGGGAGCGUAGGCGGACGCUUAAGUCAGUUGUGAAAGUUUGCGGCUCAACCGUAAAAUUGCAGUUGAUACUGGGUGUCUUGAGUACAGUAGAGGCAGGCGGAAUUCGUGGUGUAGCGGUGAAAUGCUUAGAUAUCACGAAGAACUCCGAUUGCGAAGGCAGCCUGCUGGACUGUAACUGACGCUGAUGCUCGAAAGUGUGGGUAUCAAACAGGAUUAGAUACCCUGGUAGUCCACACAGUAAACAAUGAAUACUCGCUGUUUGCGAUAUACAGUAAGCGGCC
rnacentral:rRNA from 1 species